GAACAACAGCAAAGACAAGGGUGAUACACAAGAACUUGAAUCCAAAGUGGAAUGAGACCUUUGAGAUAUUAUAUUCUGACCUCCCAGACCAGGAGAUAGAAUUUAAUCUCAUGUCUGACAAAGGCGUUAAGAUAAACCAGCAAUUGGGCAGUUGCAGAAUUAGAAUUAAAGAGGUGCCAGAGAGAGGAUUCAUAGACAAGGUAAGUGUAGCCAGUCAUGUUGAUAUAUAAUGAUAAUAAUAGUAAUACUAAUAAUACAAAGCUUUCUGAGGCAUCUGACUAUGUUUUUUUACUUUACUAUUUUAGUGGAUAGAUU